rnacentral:rRNA from 1 species
CCUACGGGUGGCUGCAGUAGGGAAUCUUCCACAAUGGACGAAAGUCUGAUGGAGCAACGCCGCGUGAGGGAUGAAGGUCUUCGGAUCGUAAACCUCUGUCAGCAGGGAAGAAAAGUCACUGAGCUGAUCAGCAGUCACUGGACAGUACCUGCAAAGGAAGCACCGUCUAACUCAGUGCCAGCAGCCGAGGUAAUACGGAGGGGGCGAGCGUUAGUCGGAAUUACUGGGCGUAAAGCGCGCGUAGGCGGUAUGUCAAGUCAAGGGUGAAAUCCCCGAGCUCAACGUGGGAACUGCCUUUGAAACUGGCAAGCUGGAGUGGGUGAGAGGAUAGUGGAAUUCCAGGUGUAGGAGUGAAAUCCGUAGUUAUCUGGAGGAACAUCAGUGGCGAAGGCGACUAUCUGGCACAUAACUGACGCUGAGGAGCGAAAGCGUGGGUAGCAAACAGGAUUAGAUACCCCAGUAGUC